GGCUCUGCCACAGGGACAGGUGUGGAGGGGCUCCCUGUCUGGCCGCUGCCGCCCCUGCCCCGGGCCCGGGGCUCCCCCAGCGCCACCGAGGGGCCGCCCCGCGGGACUGAGCGCGCCCGGAAGCUCGAGCGGAGGAUAGAAGGACAAGAACAGAAUUGCAGCACUGGCUGAAGAUGCCCAGCCUACAGAGUCUGAGAAGGAAAUUUAUAAUCAGGUGAAUGUAGUAUUAAAAGAUGCAGAAGGCAUCUUGGAAGACUUGCAGUCAUACCGAGGAGCUGGCCAUGAAAUACGAGAGGCAAUCCAGCAUCCUGCAGAUGAGAAGCUGCAGGAGAAGGCGUGGAGUGCAGUUGUACCACUAGUAGGUAAAUUAAAGAAAUUUUAUGAAUUUUCUCAGAGGUUAGAAGCAGCAUUAAGUGGUCUUUUGGGAGCCUUGACAAGCACACCCUACUCUCCCACCCAGCACCUAGAGCGAGAGCAAGCUCUUGCUAAACAGUUUGCGGAAAUUCUUCAUUUCACACUCCGGUGUGAUGAACUCAAGAUGACAAAUCCUGCCAUACCGAAUGAUUUCAGCUAUUACAGAAGAACAUUGAGUCGUAAGAGGAUUAAUAAUGUACCAGCAGAAGGAGAAACAUGUAGUAAAUAACGAGUUGGCGAUCCGAAUGUCUUUGUUUUAUGCUGAGGCGACUCCAAUGCUGAAAACCUUGAUUGAUGCCACCACGCAAUUUGUAUCCGAGAAUAAAAAUUUACCGAUAGAAAAUACGACCGACGGUUUAAGCACCAUGGCUAGUGUAUGCUGGAAACACCGGAAUCCAGAAGCAGGUUUACAAACGAAGAGACGGUAUCGUUCUGCUUGAGGGUGAUGGUGGAUGUCUGAAUACUCUAUGACCACGUCCAUCCAGUGGGAGCAUUUGCCAAAACUUCCAAAAUCAAUAUGAAAGAUUGUAUCAAAGUUCUUAAGGACCAGACUCCCAACAGUGUAAGGGUCUUCUAAAUGCUUUCAGGUACACAACAAAACAUUUGAAUGAUGAGACUACCUCCAAGCAAAUUAAAUCCUUGCUUCAGUAA